rnacentral:rRNA from 1 species
GACGAACGCUGGCGGCGUGCUUAACACAUGCAAGUCGAACGGAAAGGCCCUGCUUUUGUGGGGUGCUCGAGUGGCGAACGGGUGAGUAACACGUGAGUAACCUGCCCUUGACUUUGGGAUAACUUCAGGAAACUGGGGCUAAUACCGGAUAGGAGCUCCUGCUGCAUGGUGGGGGUUGGAAAGUUUCGGCGGUUGGGGAUGGACUCGCGGCUUAUCAGCUUGUUGGUGGGGUAGUGGCUUACCAAGGCUUUGACGGGUAGCCGGCCUGAGAGGGUGACCGGCCACAUUGGGACUGAGAUACGGCCCAGACUCCUACGGGAGGCAGCAGUGGGGAAUAUUGCACAAUGGGCGGAAGCCUGAUGCAGCAACGCCGCGUGCGGGAUGACGGCCUUCGGGUUGUAAACCGCUUUCGCCUGUGACGAAGCGUGAGUGACGGUAAUGGGUAAAGAAGCACCGGCUAACUACGUGCCAGCAGCCGCGGUGAUACGUAGGGUGCGAGCGUUGUCCGGAUUUAUUGGGCGUAAAGGGUUCGUAGGUGGUUGAUCGCGUCGGAAGUGUAAUCUUGGGGCUUAACCCUGAGCGUGCUUUCGAUACGGGUUGACUUGAGGAAGGUAGGGGAGAAUGGAAUUCCUGGUGGAGCGGUGGAAUGCGCAGAUAUCAGGAGGAACACCAGUGGCGAAGGCGGUUCUCUGGGCCUUUCCUGACGCUGAGGAGCGAAAGCGUGGGGAGCGAACAGGCUUAGAUACCCUGGUAGUCCACGCUGUAAACGGUGGGUACUAGGUGUGGGGUCCAUUCCACGGGUUCCGUGCCGUAGCUAACGCUUUAAGUACCCCGCCUGGGGAGUACGGCCGCAAGGCUAAAACUCAAAGGAAUUGACGGGGCCCCGCACAAGCGGCGGAGCAUGCGGAUUAAUUCGAUGCAACGCGUAGAACCUUACCUGGGUUUGACAUGGAUCGGGAGUGCUCAGAGAUGGGUGUGCCUCUUUUGGGGUCGGUUCACAGGUGGUGCAUGGCUGUCGUCAGCUCGUGUCGUGAGAUGUUGGGUUAAGUCCCGCAACGAGCGCAACCCUUGUUCACUGUUGCCAGCACGUUAUGGUGGGGAUUCAGUGGAGACCGCCGGGGUCAACUCGGAGGAAGGUGGGGAUGACGUCAAGUCAUCAUGCCCCUUAUGUCCAGGGCUUCACGCAUGCUACAAUGGCUGGUACAGAGAGUGGCGAGCCUGUGAGGGUGAGCGAAUCUCGGAAAGCCGGUCUCAGUUCGGAUUGGGGUCUGCAACUCGACCUCAUGAAGUCGGAGUCGCUAGUAAUCGCAGAUCAGCAACGCUGCGGUGAAUACGUUCCCGGGGCU